AGUGAACGCUGGCGGUAGGCCUAACACAUGCAAGUCGAACGGCAGCACAGUAAGAGCUUGCUCUUACGGGUGGCGAGUGGCGGACGGGUGAGGAAUACAUCGGAAUCUACUUUUUCGUGGGGGAUAACGUAGGGAAACUUACGCUAAUACCGCAUACGACCUACGGGUGAAAGCAGGGGAUCUUCGGACCUUGCGCGAUUGAAUGAGCCGAUGUCGGAUUAGCUAGUUGGCGGGGUAAAGGCCCACCAAGGCGACGAUCCGUAGCUGGUCUGAGAGGGUGAUCAGCCACACUGGAACUGAGACACGUCCCAGACUCCUACGCGAGGCAGUAGUGGGGAAUAUUGGACAAUGGGCGCAAGCCUGAUCCAGCCAUACCGCGUGGGUGAAGAAGGCCUUCGGGUUGUAAAGCCCUUUUGUUGGGAAAGAAAAGCAGCAGGUUAAUACCCCGCUGUUCUGACGGUACCCAAAGAAUAAGCACCGGCUAACUUCGUG
rnacentral:rRNA from 1 species